rnacentral:lncRNA from 1 species
CGGCCGCGGGAGCGCAGUGCCAGCGCCGCCCGGCCCCACCGAGAGGGGCGCACUCGCCGCUGCGGGGCUCGCACCGCUCACCGCAGCCCCCUCCCGCCGACCCGCAAGUCCUCUCAAACCCUGAAUAAGUAAGUGGUCUGUGCCUGUUCCAAGGGCAGAGUGGAAAGUGGCAGUGGUCCUGUCCAGUGGACAUACUGCUUCCCUACUUGGACUCUCCAGGAUUCCAUCACAGAUUGCUGCAAUGUCUGUAUCUAAUCUAUCAUGGCUCAUAGCACUAUGAACUUGCCUCAGAGAAUCCCCUCCUUUGUGACUCAUAAGUUUGGGUUGAAGAAAAAGUCCCAGUCAGUGGAUAUUACUGCUCCAGGGUUCAACCCUUUGGGUGGUGCAGGGAAGCAAGCACCACAAGCCAGCAAGCCCCCAGCACCCAAGACUCCCAUCAUAGAAGAAGAACAGAACAACUCGGCAAACACCCAGAAGCAUCCU